rnacentral:rRNA from 1 species
CACUAUGGUCAUGUCACCCUGAACGUGCCUGAUCUCAUCUGAUCUCAGUAGCUAAGCAGGGUCGGGCCUGGUUAGUACUUGGAUGGGAGACCACUUAGGAAGACCAGGUGCUGCAGGUG